AGAAACCACUGGACCAGCAGAGAUUUUAGACACCACAGCUCGCCUUCGUUCUCGCUGCCUCCACCAUGACUUUCUCCUCUUCUUCUUCCUCCUCUAGUGGAGAUCACGACCUCUCUCUUUAUCCUCCCUCUCAAUAGGGCUUUGUUUCAGAAUCUGGUGCGAACAGAGGUUGUGGCUCGGAUUCUUUGUUAAAGAAAAAGAAAUUGCACCGAGGUUUGAUGGAUUGAGAUUCAUACAUGUUUGAUGGUAGGUCCUCACAUCAAAUCCGUCGAGCUUAAGCAUCUCAAGCUAGGUAAAAGAGAAAUAUCAUUGAUUUGCACGUGCAAGUAAACCAUGACAGACAUUGCCUAUCACAAAAACAAACAUUUAAUAUCAAGAAAGUGUUAUUAAAAGGUAUUUAAUGUCGGUUGUCUUUAAUAUCUUUAACCGACAUUAGGCAGCCGACAUUGAAGAUCUUUAAUAACAUAAUCUUCAAUUUCGAUUGACAACCAACAUUGUACUCCUGUAAUGUCAAUUUUAAAUUGAUAUUAAAGUCUAAAUUUGUACUAGUGAUAAUGAAGAAAUAGAAAACGU